CCUACGGGGCAGCAGAGAGGAAGAUGGGUCAACGGCUGAGAGGCUGAACCAGCCAAGUCGCGUGAGGGAAGAUGGGGCUACGGGUUGUAAACCUCUUUUGUCGGGGAGCAAAGCGAGUCACGUGUGACUCAUUGAGAGUAACCGAAGAAAAAGCAACGGCUAACUCCGUGCCAGCAGCCGCGGUAAUACGGAGGAUGCGAGCGUUAUCCGGAUGUAUUGGGUUUAACGGGUGCGCAGGCGGAGGUGCAAGUCAGCGGUCAAAUUGCGGGGCUCAACCCCGUACUGCCGUUGAAACUGCAUCCCUUGAGUGCGCGAGACGUAUGCGGAAUGCGUUGUGUAGCGGUGAAAUGCAUAGAUAUCACGCAGAACUCCGAUUGCGAAGGCAGCAUACCGGCGCGCAACUGACGCUCAUGCACGAAAGCGUGGGUAUCGAACAGGAUUAGAUACCCCAGUAGUC
rnacentral:rRNA from 1 species